UAGCUCGAGUUUCUCUUCAUUGUCGCAUAAAUCUUUCGCCUUUCACUAAAGAUUUCCGUGGAGGGGAACUUUUUUGCGAGUGACCUGUAUAAUAUUUUUAGGGGAAGUCAUGGCCUA
rnacentral:snRNA from 1 species